rnacentral:rRNA from 1 species
UGGGGGAUAUUGCGCAAUGGGGGAAACCCUGACGCAGCAACGCCGCGUGAAGGAAGAAGGUCUUCGGAUUGUAAACUUUUGUCUUUGGGGAAGAAAAAAAUGACGGUACCCAAGGAGGAAGCCACGGCUAACUACGUGCCAGCAGCCGCGGUAAUACAUAGGUGGCAAGCGUUGUCCGGAUUUACUGGGUGUAAAGGGCGUGUAGACGGGACUUAAAGUCAGAUGUGAAAUACCGCAGCUCAACUGCGGGGCUGCAUUUGAAACUUAAGUUCUUGAGUGCAGGAGAGGAAAGCGGAAUUCCUAGUGUAGCGGGGAAAUGCGUAGAUAUUAGGAGGAACACCGGUGGCGAAGGCGGCUUUCUGGACUGUAACUGACGUUGAGGCGCGAAAGCGUGGGUAGCAAACA